GCACCCUGUGCCUAUCACCUUCCAUGGAAAGCUUCUAUCUCACCCCCCACCUUCCCCCGCACAGAUCCCCAACCCCAGAGCUGAGAUGGAACUGAUGAGGAGGCUGCAGCUCCCCAAGGAACUAGGGUGGGACGAGGAGGAUGUCACCCAGGGGGUCCCGUGGGUCUCCCAGCGGGAGCUGCCCUAUACUCUGAGCCUGAGCGCCAUGCUGCAGUCGCCCCACGGCAUCAAUCGCAUGCUCUCCAACUGCCCCCUCACUCCCCUGAGCUAUACAGCCGGGAACCGAACCACGGCCCAGGGGUGCCCAGCCCGUGCUCCCAGGAUCAGCCCCUCACCCUGGCUCCAUGCAGGGGGUGCUAAGCUGGGUGUGAGAGCCAGCAGGACCUUGAUCCCCCAGGAAUCAUGUGGAGGUGACUGUGUGUCUGUCGCCCCUCAAGUGUCACUAGCCCAGCCCCCCCAUGGGACCGGGACGUGGAGCUGCUGGUGUAUUACGCGGAGCCACACAAACCUAGCGUGGUACUGGAGGCAGGGCUGCCUGGAGCUAAGCGAGGUAGAGGAG
rnacentral:lncRNA from 1 species